GAUGAACGCUGGCGGCGUGCCUAAUACAUGCAAGUCGAGCGAAGCGGGGACGUGUGAGUAACACGUGGAGAACAUCCUAUAAGACUGGGAUAAAUUCGGGAAAACGGAGCUAAACCAGAUACUUAUAGAUGGAUACACGCUGCAUUAGCUAGUUGGUAAGGUAACGGCUUACCAAGGCAACGACGCAUAGCAGACCUGAGAGGGUGACCAGCCACACUGGAACUGAGACACGGUCCAGACUCCUACGGGAGGCAGCAGUGGGGAAUCUUCCGCAAUGGGCGAAAGCCUGAUGGAGCAACGCCGCGUGAGUGAUGAAGGUCUUCGGAUUGUAAAGCACUGUUAUUAGGGAGGCGGUACCUACUCAGAAAGCCACGGCUAACUCCGUGCCAGCAGCCGCGGUAAUUC
rnacentral:rRNA from 1 species